CAAUGCUGACGAGUCCCAAAGAGGACGAAACAGCUGUCUGGUGC
rnacentral:hammerhead_ribozyme from 1 species